rnacentral:rRNA from 1 species
CCUACGGGAGGCAGCAGUGAGGAAUUUUCUGCAAUGGGCGAAAGCCUGACAGAGCAAUACCGCGUGAGGGAUGAAGACUUACUGAGUUGUAAACCUCGGUGCCUUAAGGAAGAAGAUCUGACGGUACUUAAGGUGGAAAGCAUCGGCUAACUCCGUGCCAGCAGCCGCGGUAAGACGGGGGAUGCAAGUGUUAUCCGGAAUUACUGGGCGUAAAGCGUCUGCAGGUGGUUUUAUAAGUCUGCUGUUAAAUCUUGAGGCUCAACCUCAAAUCUGCAGUGGAAACUAUAAGACUUGAGUAUAGUAGGGGUAGAGGGAAUUUCCAGUGGAGCGGUGAAAUGCGUAGAUAUUGGAAAGAACACCGAUGGCGAAGGCACUCUACUGGGCUAUUACUGACACUCAGAGACGAAAGCUAGGGGAGCAAAUGGGAUUAGAUACCCCAGUAGUCCUAGCCGUAAACGAUGGAUACUCGAUGUUGGACGUAUCGACCCGUUCAGUAUCUUAGCUAACGCGUUAAGUAUCCCGCCUGGGGAGUACGCUCGCAAGAGUGAAACUCAAAUGAAUUGACGGNGNGAGAGNGCGAGACGACGACGAGGGAGAGG